CUCGCGUCUGAUUAGCUGUUGGCGGGGACGACCGCCCAACGAGGCGAGUCAGUAGCCGGACUGAGAGGUUGGCCGGCCACAUUGGGACUGAGACACGGCCCAGACUCCUACGGAAGGCAGCAG
rnacentral:rRNA from 1 species